UACAGAGGUCUCAAGCGUUGUUCGGAUUCAUUGGGCGUAAAGGGUGCGUAGGCGGCGCGGUAAGUCGGGUGUGAAAUCUCGGGGCUUAACUCCGAAACUGCAUUCGAUACUGCCGUGCUUGAGGACUGGAGAGGAGACUGGAAUUUACGGUGUAGCGGUGAAAUGCGUAGAUAUCGUAAGGAAGACCAGUGGCGAAGGCGGGUUGCUGGGCCGACACUGACGCUGAGGCGCGAAAGCGUGGGGAGCAAACAGG
rnacentral:rRNA from 1 species